rnacentral:rRNA from 1 species
UACGAGGGGGGCAAGCGUUGUUCGGAUUUAUUGGGCGUAAAGGGUGCGUAGGCGGUUUGGCAAGUCUGAUGUGAAAUCUAUGGGCUCAACCGAGGAACUGCGCCCAAAACUACCGUGCUCGAGGGAGAUAGAGGUGAGCGGAACUUAGGGUGGAGCGGUGAAAUGCGUUGAUAUCCUAAGGAACACCGGUGGCGAAAGCGGCUCACUGGAUCUCUUCUGACGCUGAGGCACGAAAGCUAGGGUAGCGAACGGG